rnacentral:tRNA from 3 species
GGGCCUUUAGCUCAGUUGGUUAGAGCCACCGGCUCAUAACCGGUUGGUCCGGGGUUCGAGUCCCUGAAGGCCCACCA